UUGCCUACGGGUGGCAGCAGUAGGGAAUCUUCCGCAAUGGACGAAAGUCUGACGGAGCAACGCCGCGUGAGUGAUGAAGGCUUUCGGGUCGUAAAACUCUGUUGUUAGGGAAGAAUAAGUGCUAGUUGAAUAAGCUGGCACCUUGACGGUACCUAACCAGAAAGCCACGGCUAACUACGUGCCAGCAGCCGCGGUAAUACGUAGGUGGCAAGCGUUAUCCGGAAUUAUUGGGCGUAAAGCGCGCGCAGGUGGGUUCUUAAGUCUGAGGUGAAAGCCAACGGCUCAACCGUGGAGGGUCAUUGGAAACUGGGAGACUUGAGUGCAGAAGAGGAAAGUGGAAUUCCAUGUGUAGCGGUGAAAUGCGUAGAGAUAUGGAGGAACACCAGUGGCGAAGGCGACUUUCUGGUCUGUAACUGACACUGAGGCGCGAAAGCGUGGGGAGCAAACAGGAUUAGAUACCCUUGUAGUCGG
rnacentral:rRNA from 1 species